rnacentral:tRNA from 1 species
GAGGGUAUAGCUCAAGUGGUAGAGUGCAUGCUUAGCAUGCAUGAGGUCCUGGGUUCAAUCCCCACUACCUCCU